UCCCACAUAGCUCAGUUGGUAAAGCAUCUGCCUGCAAUGCAGGAGACCUGGGUUCAACUCCUGGGUCGGGAA
rnacentral:tRNA from 1 species